CUGCCUUUAGGUCUGACAUAACUCGUCGAAAGACGGGCUAAUAUCAGAUAAAACAAUAACUUGGCAUCAAGUAAUUGUCAAAGCUUCGGCGCCCAAAGAUUGAGUCUGCGGACCAUUAGGUAGUUGGUGGAUUAACAGCCCACCAAGCCAACGAUGGAUAGCUGGUCUGAGAGGAUGAUCAGCCACACUGGAACUGAGACACGGUCCAGACUCCUACGGGAGGCAGCAGUAAGGAAUAUUGCUCAAUGGGAGAAAUCCUGAAGCAGCAACGCCGCGUGAAGGAAGAAGGGUCUUCGACUUGUAAACUUCUGUAGAAGAGGAAAAAUACUCCGAUAUACUCGGAAUUGAUUGUACUCUUAAAGUAAGCCCCGGCUAACUACGUG
rnacentral:rRNA from 1 species